rnacentral:lncRNA from 1 species
AUUGCCAAAGCUAAAAAUGGAAAUUUAUAGUCAAAGCAAUUACCAUUCUUGAAACAAAGCAAGUACAUAAUAAAUUGUCCCAAUGAGAUGACUAAACGUAAUCACAGAUGCUUAAUUUUGGUGAAUAAAUUACUCGAUAUUUGUGCUGACGGCGAGGCUGCCUUGCUUGUCUUGUUUUAGUGGCCAAUACUCAAUGUACUUGAUGUUUCCUUUAGGAAUCAAUAUGCCAUUAUGCAUUGAUCAUUAAUUUGCUCAUUAUCGUGACAUAAAAACUAAAUACGUCUUCAUAUAAAGAUUAAACAAAGAAUAUGUAAGGCUCUUCAGUGGUGACGGCAAAUGAGUUGAAAAUGGGUCAAACAAAACCGAAACAUAACCCAACUCGCUCAUAUUUCAUACACUGGGUAUGAUCACUUUGUUUUUCAGGUUGACCAUUAGAGUUCUGAGAACCCAGCAAGUUAAAUCAUCACAAAGAGGCAGAGGCUAAGCCAGAACAUCUGGGUUGGACCUGCAGCCGAAGACAAACAAAGAAGCUCACCAUUUAGUCAUUAAUAAGCUUCAAACAUACUCCAGUAGUUUUGAAAACAUUAUGUGUGAGUGUGUGAAAACCUUAAAAACAGCACAUCAAUAAUGCACUACUUUGAACAAGUUUGACAUAUGAACCGAAAACAUCACAACUCACAAGUGCAAUAAAUAAUGUUUCCACUAGAUUAAGCUGAUUGAAUCAAGAUUGAUUUUCACAAGAGAUGGGAACAUUGAAAAACAACCAACAUAAGAUUAGAGCAACACACUGAGACAUCAUUGACUGUUACAACUUAUACAUCCAUGUAGACACUGCUAACUGAAUAAAGACCACUUUUUUUAAUGAUUCCACAACAUCUUGUCUGUGGAAAUUGUAUCCAUACUCAUUCCACCUAUCUUCCCUAGUAACUCUACAACCAUUUCCACAUCCCAAUCAUUUACAAGUCUUCUAAAGGAUAAAUCCCAUCCCUGUUCUGGCCCAACAGUCCCCUACAUUAGCAUCAAGACUCACACAAAUUUGGAAAAGAUUCCUAAGAGGGAAUUGUUCUAUCCAGAAAUCCUUCCAGAAUCUUGUUUUACUGUCAUUUCCACUUUGAUAUAUAAGUCUGCCUUCAUUUGAGGCCACAAACUUCUGAUUGUUCUCCAUAGUCCCACACCCCGUAAGGUUCAACUGUGUUAUCUGUACACCAUUGGGUUAGCUCACCAAACACUCAGCUUUAAUCACCUCUUUCAAGAAAGCAUUUCUCUCCUCAAUGUACCUCCACAUCGACUUCUUCAGAAGACUUACAUUUUGCAAUCUCAAAUUUCUAAUCCCCCCCCCCCCCCCCAGUCUUUGUUAAGAAGUACAGUCUUCCAGUUUACCACCGGAGAGGAGUUCAGAUGCCCUGAAGGGACCUCCAAAGGUUUAUCUUGGAGUCCAUGUCUGGGAGCGACAAGGAUUUGUAAGAUAUUAUUUAGGCCGUGUCCUGAAUCAAAUUCUCUAUUAAGCGUAAGGGUUAUAAGAAAGUGGAAAAUGAAUAUAUUUAACCAUACAAUUUUUUAGAACAGUUCACCCCCCACUCCCACACACACAAAAAAAAGAUCUAUUGUAUUAGUACCUUAUUGUUUUAUGUGCACUAACGUUCACCUUCUUUUUGGAGAAGCAGACAAAGAUCCUCACUUGAAUCCUGUCAGUGUCCCAAGAAGAAAGAGAUCAAAGCUUAGACAAUGCAUUUUGUCACCUGCUCAAAUCCAGAGGACACUUGAUAACAAUCUCCAGGCACCAGACUUUGAAAUAAUAUCUGACGGAGAUGAACCUGUUACUCUAAUUUAUGCAAGGAACAAAUACAUUCCUCCUAAUGAGGUUGGUCUUGGAGCUAUGCUGCUAGUAUCACCAACUACUACUACAGAACGCUUGACGCCUCUAUCAGCAAUGGCAGUUCCUCCUAAUGAGAUUGGUCACGAACCUAUGCUGCUAGUAUCACCAACUACUACUAUAGAACGCUCGACACCUCAAUUAGCAAUGGAAGAAGAUACUGUUUCUUGCUCAAUGGAUGUUUCUAAAUAAAAUUCAUCUAUAAGUGAAUUUUUAGAUGCAUGCAUAACAUUCAAGUUGGUAUGUGAAGCCAGCUCUUAUUGUCUAGCUAGUGCAAUGUUGGCUAAAUACAAUUUGCGCUGUUCCAACUUUACAGAUUUCCCCGACAGUCUGGGUGUUUUGAGACCAUCUAGUUUAUCUUGUUCUGGAUAUUUAUAGUUUCUUCCAUUUUAAUGGAUUGAAUUUUUAGACACGUCAAUUCUGCUUUUUGGAUGCAUUUAAUAUGUCAAUUCCGAAGUCUAUCAUGCGUGCUUACCUACAAGUUUGUCAGUUUGCGUGGACUCCACAGUAGACUAAAAUUGUAACAUCACAACGGCAAUUUGACUUACAUAUGCUUGACAUGUUGUAAUGUCUUGCAUUGUACUUGUUUCAGGAGAAAGAACAAUGUACUAGAUCAUGUGGCUAUGCAAAAUGAAACUACUGGAAAUGAGGAUGGAAAAGCAAAUGCAUGUGAUAAUAGACUCGCACCAGAUCAUAUGAAUACUACAUCAAGGGUAUGUCGGAUAAAUUGUUCUAAAAAAUGUUGUUGCUAUUGAAUUUUCAUCUGUAUAUGGAGAUGAACAUCUUAUUAUUGAAGAAAUAGGUAUAUCAGCCUCAGGAUAAGGUAUGCUCAACCAAAAAAAGUUUAAAAAUAAGUCUACCAAAAAGUCUCUUCGAUCUCCUUCUAAGUUAUUAGGACAAGUCGAUAAGACACUACACCUUCCAAUAAUAGCUGUUACAGAAUGACAAAAGUCCCACAUCGGUGGUUUAUGAGAUGGGUGGACUCCUUAUAAGAUUUGAUCAAUCCUCUUCUCUUUGAGCUAGCGUUUGGGUGUGAGUUAGGUCUAAGACCUAAUUUAACAUGGUAUCAGAGCAGGGCUCAUCUCACCCAAUGUUGGGGCCCCCAAAAUCAAAAUUGCCCACGCACCAGAUGCUAAGCACUCGGCGUGAGUGGGGUGUUAAUGAAUGCAAAGUCCCACAUCGGUGGUUUAUGAGAGUGGAUGAACUCCUUAUAAGGCUUGGCAAUCCUCCUCCCUUUGAGCUAGCUUUUGGGUGUGAGUUAGGCCUAAAACCUAAUUUAAAAAUAGCUACACUAAAAGAGAUGCUAGAGAGCCAUUAUUAAAUAAUCCGAGAGCAAUUAUCAUAAAGAUAAAUGAAGCAUGAUGAGCUUAAAUGAAGCAAGAUAAUAAAGAUUCAUAGAGUUGCCCCAACUAGCUUGAAGUGAGGCAUGAUAGUGGUUGUGAAUUGGAAGUCAGUAAGAAUAAAAUAAAGAAAAAUCCAUCUGCUUAGAUACACGAAAUUCUGUCAAUGGCGGCAGAUGAAUACACAAGCAUAGUAAGAUAGAAAAAAUAAGUGCCGCUGCUGCAUCUCAGAAGCAGAGACUGGCCUGGAAAAGGAAUCAUCCAUAACUGAGUCCAUUUAACAAUAAAACGGUUGCCAAGACCGUAAUAGAUUAUCUGCAUUUCAAGAACAAGGAAAUAUUGUUCAGAUGAGUCAAUAUCAUCUUACCAAAAUAUUGCGAGUCGAGUCUUCAGGACUAACAGUUGAGACAAGGACCUCUAAAAUUGAAGAUAAAAGUGCCAAGAAAAAGCAUGAGAACAUUCAUGAUUUGGAAGCUCACUAAGGUGUGUUCAAACAGUCAAUUGGGAAGUUUUUGGCGACUAAUUUUCUUUUCACUUGGUUAUUUGGCAACUAUCUUAUUUCCUCACUCUUAGAUAUUUCAAUUAUCAUAUUGAAAAUAUUUAAUGCUCCCUUAUCUUAAGAUUUGUUGCUUAACAAGCCUUGACCACUUAACUAAAGGCCUAAAAUUAUGAAGGUUCACCAAAUCCAGCAUUCUCCCCCAAAUCCCCACCCCCAUUUUUUAAUAGAGAAUCUAAGACUUCUCUCAUUGGAGUUCUAUUGCCAAUAAUUGAGAAUUUACAGUAAUCAAAGUUGAUGAGCUGUCACAAAAGGGAAAACAGAUCCCCCAAGGCCUAGCUCGAGUGGCAAAAGGUGGAGGAUUUGUGGCUUAGGUCGCAGGUUGAAGCCCCAUACCAUGCAAAGCGAAGCCCGGUAUUUAAGUGGAGAAGGGUAGAGGGGCGGGCCCAUUAUCCACCGAGUUUAGAAGGCUAUGAUUGGUCCAAAGGGCGGAUCACAGACGGAUUUCUCGGUUAUCAAAAAAAAAAAAAAAAAAGGGAAAACAGAAUCAAUCAAAGUUAAUGACCCUCUAUCAUGAUUAAUCUAUUUCCAUAAAUAAAUGACCAGCUGUAGUCUAUCUGUCUAUAUAUUUUAUCCGUCGCCUCAGACAGACAUUUUGAGAUUUUGAAAGCAAAUCCAACUCUAACGUUAGCAGCAGUACAUUCAACCUGAUUUGAACUGGAAUCAUUCAGAACCAGAUUUUAUGGGUAAACAAGGGCCAUGUUGCCAUUGUGGCAUCGAGCGUAAGUACUAUUAAACACCUAUAUUCCACCUUUUAUGUUUAUCAAUAAUCUCGUGCUUUACAGGAUAAUUGAUUCAGUGAAGCUUAGAAUUAAUGUGCCUGAUGAUAAGUAAAUAAACAGUGAAGACUCACAUGCCUGAAACAGUAAAUAACCAAAUUUCCCUAAAUUGCCAAUCUGUUAAACAUAAAGCAUAGCGUACUUGAAUUUUCUCACCUCUCGAGCCAAAUGCUAAUUGAUUUUCAAAACAGCUCCCCUUAGUCUAAUAGGAACUAAGGUCAUCUUGGAUAAAUUGUAGAUUUGGUCCCCAAUCGCUGGCAUAGAUGCACAUUUUAGACCCUGCUGUAUUCCGCUUCAAAUUUGGCACCAAUGACCCUGCUCCACAACAACUGUCUUAGAGCUUUGCUUUAAAAUUCCAGAUUUUUUAUCCCAAGCCCCCAUUCUUCUUAGCAGACAUCACAGAUUUCUAUUUUACCAGGUGGUACCCUUUCUUUUCUUUGUUUCCCUGCCACAAAAACUCUCUCCUAAUGUUGUCCAACCUUUUGAUAACCCCUGGUGGGAUGGGAAAUAAAGGCAUCAUAUAAGUUGGUAAAGCAUCAAGGACUGAAUUAAUGAGAGUCGGUCUUCCUCUAAGGAGAGGUAUUGAGUUUUCCACCUGGCAAGCUUUUUUUCACACUUCUUUAUCACUCUAUCCCAUAUUUGUAUAGAUUUAGAUUUAGCCCCAGAGGUAGCCCCAAGUAAAUUGUUGGCAGACUGCCAAAUUCUCCAUCAUGUAUAGCAGCUAGCAAGUUCAUGUUGGUGACUUCAUUUAUACAAUACAUUAGGCUCUUCCUCUAAAAUCUAUGUUGCUUGGAAUCUCUGAAAUUGUUGCCGCACCCGUGUCGAAUUCUCCAAAAUGCACUACUUUUGGAGUAUCCGACAUGGUACCUCUUGACAUUUUUGAAAAAUCUGAGCAACAUAGACUAUAAUACCUAUUCCAUUUCUAAUCCUCAAACUUCCUGAGUACCUUAACUUGAGCCCGCCUAUAUCCCUAGUCUUAGUUCCUACCCAUUAGGUUUCCUAAACACAAGGUAUAUUGAUCCUCCUUCUCUUUCUUAUAAUCACCAACUCUAUUGACUUCCUCGCCAAUAUCCCUAUGUUCCAAGACAGAACUCACAACCUAGGAGUUCCCUUGGUACCCUUACCACCCCUGUCCUCACCCCAAAUCAUUGACAUGACUUUUAACUACCACCUAUUGAAGCCACUAAUGCAAGUUAUAGAAUAAUCAAGUGGGGCAACUCACACAAUACAAUGAAGAAAAUAAAAAAAGCAACAGCAAAGAUACCAAUUCAAAGUAGGAACCAAGAAAAUGUAGUAAUAUUCAUAAACAAUCAUAUCAGAUUUAAGGAAAUAAGUUAACAAUCAAGCAACAAUAAGGAUCUGAACAAUAUCUCAAGGAAAAAUCAGGUCUAGAUAAGACAGGAAAAUAUAUAAAAGGUGUGGUGGAUCAAACCUAGGCGUUGAUGGGGAUAAAAAAUACUAUGGACGGAUUUUCCGAAAUCCAGCGAGCUCUGAUAUACUCCUUUGGUCUGUCGGUCAUCAGUCAUCAGGAUGGGGUCGCUGGAUUCUUGCUGGUGUUGAGCUCUAGAGAAAAAGAUAGUCCCUGUUGAAUAUUAUACAGUUAACCACUGUCAGAUUAGUUGAUAGCGCUCCUCCUUAAAAUAUCAUGCAAAGAAAUGCAGUCUGCCAAGAGGUUAACUAUUUUGCAUGGUUCAUUAACACAACAAGCAAAUCCUUUUCAAUCUUUCCACCAUCAAUAUCGUUCAACUAUGCUGUAUGGUGCCAUAAAAUGGUGAUGAAAAUGUGUGUAUAAAAGCAGUUGACACAUCCUAAAAGUCUAUAUAUGUUUCACAGAAAGAUAUUUCCUCCUGUUUUGCUAAAGAUAUUCCCCGCUAUACGUACUCUAGUUUCGUGACGCUUUUGUUCUCGUGCAGUACAUUCUAAACCUUUUACAGAAAAUCUUAAUUGUCAAUGAUCAUUGUGCUUUAGUUUCUGAGAUAAGUUACCUGUAAGAUUUUAUUCAUAUUUUGUCCCAUUUAAAUGCUAAUUAAUUGUGAACUCAAACAGAAACCCCCCUAUGGAGACCUGGACCAACUGCAAAACCAGUGCUCUGCAAUGCAUGUGGAUUAAGAUGGCAAACUAAAGAGACACUAGAUGACUAUCUUCCCAAACAUGCAAGCACAGAGUUACCUUCUGAGAUGAAGCUGGAAGUUGGCGAAGAGGUUUCUGGACAGGAUGGCUCUUCAGCUUGUCUUGAGGAGGAAAUGAUUAACAUAUCAAGCUUAGGUUCAGCAGGAUCAUCCCCAGACAAAUGCAUGCAAAUGGAAGAAACAAAUGGUAAAAAAAUUUCACUUAUAUAUACAUGAUGGACUUAACCUCCAUCAUCUCUUUUGACGCUUGCUGCCUCCUCUCCUAACCCAGCUCUCUAACAACUCUAAAGUAUGUUCUGGCAUUGUCACUGUAGUCAAAGGCGCGCUUACACCUGGAAGCGUAUUGUGCGCUUCCCCUCGCUUUAUGUGUGCUUUAGUGUCGUCAUCAAGGUUCUAAGGCAAACUUUUCCUUGCCAAUGAACCUCUUCUAAAGAACUAACACUAAGCAAUUGAUAUUUUACUUGAUCAUAAUUUUUUUUCAAUUUCUUUGGUCAUAUAUUUGUCAUUCAUGUUUAUAAUUAUUAGACUUGGACUAAACAUAUAUAUUUGUAUUUUUUUUCUCCCUUUGCGCCUUUUUUCAUUAAAGCCCAUGUUUUAUUUGCACUUAAAGCCCCAACAGACCUUAGAGCUUUUUUGCGCUUUUCGCCUUUGAUAACAAUGGGCAUUGUCCAGUUCAGACUAGAGAUGCUGAGAAACAAAUUCCAGAUUUGCUUAGUAAAUUACAAUGCAAGAAUAGGUGGCUGUCAGUUUCUCUUGUCAAAUUGCAUAAAAAGCACCUAGGGACCAGCUGUCUGCCCUUCUUCUGUAGUACUUCCUGUGUUAAACAUGCCCUCUUUAUCAGUAGCCAAGUGACACAUUUCACUUUUGUAGGAAUGUCCCCACUCCAGAAAUAGUUCCAGAGAUGUUUUGGAUCCCCAGCCAUCAGCUGGAGACCUCUUCUGUAGACACUACUAACUGAAUAAAGACCACAUUUUUUAAUGCUUCCAUACUCAUUCCACCUAUCUUCCCUAGUAACUCUACAACCCUUUCCACCUCCCAAUCAGUUACAAGUCUUCUGAAGGAUAAAUCCCAUCCCUGUUCUGACCCAACAGGCAACUACAUUAGCAUCAGGAUUCACACAAAUUUGGAAGAGAUUCCUAAGAGGGAAUUGUUCUAUCCAGAAAUCCUUCCAGAAUCUUGUUUAAUUGUCAUUUCCCACUUUGAUAUAAAAGUCUGCCUUCAUUUGAGGCCACAAACUUGUGAUUGUUCUCCCUACUCCCACACCCCGUAAGGUUCAACUGUGUUCUCUGUACACCAUGGGGUUAGCUCACCAUACUCAUCUUUAAUCACCUCUUUCCCGAAAGCAUUUCCCUCCUCAAUGUACCUCCACAACGACUUCUUCAGAAGACUUUCAUUUUGCAAUCUCAAAUUUCAAAUCCCCCCCCCCCCAUCCUCCUCUGUCUUUGUUAAGGAGUACAGUCUUCCAGUUUACCACCGGAGAGGAGUUUAGAUGCCCUGAAGGGACCUCUAAAGGUUUAUCUUGGAGUCCAUAUCUGGGAGCGACAAGGAAUUGUUAGAUAGUAUCUAGGUCGUGUCCUGAAUCAAAUUCUUUCUUAAGUGUAUGGGUUAUAAGAAAGUGGAAAACUAAUAUAUUUAACUAUACAAAUUUUUGUAACAGCUUACCCCCCACUCCCACACACGAAAAAAGAAGAUAAUAUCAAUUGUAUUAGUACCUUAUUUGUUUUAUUUGCACUAAUGUUCACCAUCUUUUUGGAGAAGUAGACAAAGAUCCUCACUUGAAUCCUGACAGUGUCCCAAGAAGAAAGAUAUUAAAGCUUAGACAUAGCAUUUUGUCACCUGCUCAAAUCCAGAGGACACUUGAUAACAAUCUCCAGGCACCAGACUUUGAAAUAAUAUCUGACGGAGAUGAACCUGUUACUCUAAUUUAUGCAAGGAACAAAUACAUUCCUCCUAAUGAGAUUGGUCUUGGAGCUAUGCUGCUAGUAUCACCAACUACUACUAUAGAACGCUCGACGCCUCAAUCAGCAAUGGCAGAAGAUACUGUCUCUUGCUCAAUGGAUGUUUCUAAAUAAAAUUCAUCUAUAAGUGAAUUUUUAGAUGCAUGCUUAACAUUUAAGCUGGUAUGUGAAGCCAGCUCUUAUUGUCUAGAUAGUGCAAUGUUGGCUAAAAACAAUUUGGGCUUUCCAACUUUACAGAUUUCCCCAACAGACACGCGCAACAGUCUGGGUGUUUUGAGACCAUCUAGUUUAUCUUGUUCUGGAUAUUUGUAGUUUCUUCCGUUUUAUUGGAUGGAAUUUUUAGACAUGUCAAUUCCGAAGUCUAUAACGCGUGCUUACCAACAAGUUUGUCAGUUUGUCUGGACUACACGGUAGACUAAAAUUGUAACAUCACAAAGGCCAUUUGACAUACAUAUGCUUGGCAUUACAACUGUAAUGUCUUGCAUUGUACUUGUUUCAGGAGAAACAACAAUGUUCUAGAAUAUGUGGCUAUGCAAAAUGAAACUACUGGAAAUAAGGAUGGAAAUGAAAAUGCAUGUGACAAUGGACUCGCUCCACAUCACAUGGAUACUACAGAAAGGGUAUGUCAAUAAAUUGUUCUAAAAAAUGCUGCUGCUAUUGAAUUUUCUUCUGUUUAUGGAGAUGAACAUCUUAUUAUUGAAGACAUAGGCAUAUCAGCCUCAGCAUAAGGUAUGCUCAACCACAAAAAGUUUAAAAAUAAGUCUACUAAAAAGUCUCUUCGAUCUCCUUUUAAGUUGCUAGGACAAGUCGAUAAGACACUACACCUUCCAAUAAUAGCUACACUAAAGAGAAGCUAGAGAGCCAUUAUUAAAUAAUCCAAGAGCAAUGGAGACCGAGAAUAAUUUAGUACUGAGUUUCAUUUAUGCCCUCAAGUGGCAACAUAGCACUCUUCAAAAUAUAUUUAUACUUUAUAUUACUAAGUAGACUUUGAAGUAAUAAGUAGACAUCGUAAAAGUUAAACGACAACACUCCUUUUGUGACAUUCCUGAUUCUACCACUUAUAUUGCUACUCUAGCAACAAAUAUUGCAGAAACCAAAGCAAUGGAUUAACUAUUCACAACCAUAAAACUUUCUUAGAAGGCCACGAAGUACUAAAACAAAAGAAAGGGGUGAAGAGAGUGAAAUGUAUUACUCCUUAGAGACUGAAAAUGGGACGUGGGAAAAAAUGUGAAAUGUCAAAAUCUGUCAUUCUGUUGAUCAGUGGCAGAGCAAUGUAAGUAAUGAUAGCUGAAAAAGGAAACAGAUAAGCAUAUCUUAGGCUCCGGAGCAUCAUACAACUGAAAAAGGCUACUUAUGGGUUGUACUUUCGUAUUCUUAGUUUUGUUUGAAACAUAGGAUGCUUAAUAUACAAUUUUAUGCUAAAAAAGAAAUUUAAAAAUGGUGGAGCAAAGAUUUUCUACAAUAUACUCAAAUACAAGAAUGAAUCUUGAUGGAAGGAACAUAACAUGAUAGCUUAACACAAAACUUGCAACUGUGGAUUUCAAAGUCAAAAAAUACACCUUGUUGUCUUUUGGUUUAACUUUCCUUCUUUAUCGGCAAGCUUAUUGAUGUAUUUUUACUUUAGGGUAUAUUCUUGUGACGUUACAACUACAUCCCGAGCAGACGAUAUAGGAUGCUUAUGGGUUGUACCUUCGUAUUCUUAAUUUUGUUUGAAACAUAGGAUGCUUAACCUACAAAGUUAAUUAUUUCGUCAAAAGGGAAGUAGAAUUUAUGGGAGAUACAAUUUUAUGCCAAAAAAGAAAAAAGAAAAAUGGUGGAGUGAAGAUUUUCUACUAUAUACUCAAGUACAAGAAUGAAUCUUGAUGGAAGGAACAUAACAUGAUAGCUUAACACAAAACUUGCAACUGAGGAUUCCAAAGUCAAAAAAUACACCUUCUUGUUGCCUUUCGGUUUAACUUCCCUUCUUUAUCGGCAGGCCUAGUUCUGUAUUUUUGCUUCAGGUGUAUGCUUGUGAUGUUACAACUACAUCCAGAGUAGACGAUAUAGAAAGUAGUUAAUGGACAUGUACUUUCACUAAUAUUGUUGUUCCAGGCACAUGGAAUAUUUUUAAUUAUGGGUGACAGUAAGACUCAGAUAUUGAAUCUUUGUCCGCUCUAAUAUCAUAUUAAAGAACUCAUCUAAAAACUUAAAUUGUUAAAGCAAGUGCACUUUUAUUUAUUUAAAGCAACAUAAUAGCCAGAAUUUUUCUAAAAGCCUCACACGACAAAUUAUUAGGAUCACAAGAAUCAAAGACUGCAGAUCGUUUAGAACAUGAAUAAGUUUAUACAAUUUAAUUAGAAUAGAAAUAGGUUUAUACAAUCUUAUUAGAAUAGGAAAAGGUUUAUACAAUCCUAUUUAGAAUAGGAAUAGAAAUAGUAAAUAGUAUCUUACUAGGUAAAUGAUUGUAUUAUAGUGUCAAUAAAUAGGGUCUCAAUGUAUAAUGUAGACACAACAACAAUUCAAUAAUAUUUUUUUCAAUAAUUCUCACAUGGUAUCAAAACCUCUACGAUCUUGGUAGAAAAUCAAAGAGUUUUUGCUGCCGGCGGGUGGCAAUUACCCAUAUAUGCUGCCCGUCUGGCCAAUAAUUAUGUUAACUGUUAUAGAAUGUAUAUAGACUUAAUCUUAGUAAUAUACAUAGCUAUAUAUAGGCAGCAGAUUUAUAGGGAUCACUGCAGAUCUGUAGGAAUCACUCUUUAUUUCUUUCCUUAGUUAGCACCUUAUGUAUUGUAUUUAUUCACUGUUCACCUACUGGAAUAAGAUAAGAUCUUCCAUUCAAUUACAUGGUAUCAGAGCCAAUAGGCUCGUGUCGUUUUGGCUGUGUUACGGAAGAAGUUUGGAUUUCUAUUCCACUGAUUUAAAGUGGUCAGUCAUCACCACCACAGAAGGAGGCGGAGUAUAUUUUCCAGCCAAACCAGUCUUCACUGGCAUCUGGUUGUGAAGCGAGUGGCUGUCACGCACAGGUCAUACAGUCUUUUGUUCAUCACGGGCCGGCACGUGAAGGUGCGUGUCUGGCUGAAUCGAUUGGGUUUUAAUUUACGGCAUCGACACGUAUUUCUGGUGAAUCUCAGGUCUGUUCUGGUGUUAAAAUAGAUCUGGAAAGUCUGUUCGGUCACUUCUCAGGUCUGUUUUGGUGUUAAAAUACGAUCUGGAAAGUUUGUUCGUCACUCCCUGGUUCGUUUCUAUUCUGCUACACUGAAUCUGGUCUGUACUUUGUGGUUCUGUGGCUGCUAGCUUCUACUUCAGAUCAGAUAAUUGGUGUUGUUUGGUCAUAAGCUGCGGUUCAGAAUUUCUUUCUCUGAACUACUUGCUUGGGUAUUUGAUUGUUCAUUACUUGCUCUUGUCUACUGGUAAAGUACUCAGAUUCUUCAUUUUGGGUGAAUAAUUGGUUUCUUAGUUGAUAAAAUCAUUUUUUAGAAUUUGUUCAACAGUGUUUGUGGGGUCACAUACAUGCUUCUGGUUAUAUUUUCUGUUGAUAAGUUCUUGUGCUGCUAAAAUAUUUGGAGAGAAUGACUGAAAUUGUGGCUCCUAUGUUUUCGGAUAAAAGAACUUUGGUUUCGGCGGAAGAGUUUGCAAAAUUCUCACAAUAUCAAAAAUUACAAAAAGAAUCUAUUUCAGCUACUACCCUUGUUGAGUCAGGAAAAGCAUGUCUUAUAUCCUCUUCGAAUAAAUGGGUGAUCGAUUCAGGUGCCACAGAUCACAUGACAGGUAAUCCUAAUAUAUAUUCUAGCUUUCGAUCACACGGAGCACUCUCUCCUGUGACGGUUGCUGAUGGUUCAAUCUGUAAUAUUAUAGGAUCUGGGACUGUAAAACCAACUUCUUCCAUUACCUUGUCAUCUGUAUUAGGUCUACCAAAGUUAGCCUUUAAUUUGAUGUCUGUUAGUAAGCUUACCAGAGACCUAAACUGUUAUAUCUCUUUCUUUCCCGAUCAUUGUUUGUUUCGUGAUCUGAAGACAAAUAAAGUUAUUGGUAAAGGACAUGUAUCCGAUAGUCUCUACAUUCUUGAUGAAUAUUGGGAGCCUCGAUUUGCUGCCUGUUCUAGUGUCGUGUCUCCAUUCGAGGCACAUUGUUGAUUAGGACAUCCUUCUUUGCCUAUGUUGAAGAAGCUUUGUCCUCAGUUUCAGAAUAUUCCUUCACUAGAUUGUGAGUCGUGUCAAUUUGCCAAACACCAUCGUAGCUCAACAAAACCAAGGGUUAAUAAGCGGGUGGAGUCAAUUUUUGAGUUAGUUCAUUCAGAUGUUUGGGGACCAUGUCCUGUUGUUUCCAAAACCGGACAUAAGUAUUUUGUCACAUUUGUGGAUGAUUUCUCUCGAAUGACUUGGAUUUAUUUUAUGAAGAGUCGUUCUGAAGUGUUUACUCACUUUUGUGCUUUUUGUGCUGAAGUCAAAACUCAGUUCAAUACUUCAAUGCGUAUUCUAAGGAGUGAUAAUGCUAAAGAAUAUAUGUCAGAAUUGUUUCAGUCCUACAUGAGACAACAUGGUAUUCUCCAUCAAACUUCAUGUGUUGAUACACCCUCUCAAAAUGGAGUUGCUGAGAGAAAGAAUAGGCACCUACUUGAGACAGCUCGAGCACUUUUGUUCCAAAUGAAGGUUCCUAAACAAUUUUGGGCUGAUGCAGUCUCUACAGCUUGUUUUUUGAUUAAUCGCAUGCCAUCGACUGUUCUUGUUGGUAAUGUGCCUUACAAUGUUCUUUUUCCAAACAAGUCACUAUUUCCGGUGGAGCCUAAGGUAUUUGGAAGCACGUGUUAUGUUCGAGAUGUUCGGCCAUCUGUUACCAAGUUGGACCCUAAGGCAUUGAAGUGUGUUUUCUUGGGUUAUUCACGCCUUCAGAAGGGGUAUCGAUGUUAUUCUGCAGAGCUUGGUAAAUACUUGGUGUCAAAUGAUGUGGUAUUUUCAGAGACUACACCAUUCUUCUAUGCACCUCCUAUUUCUACAACUCAAGAGGAGGAAGAUGAGUGGUUAGUCUAUCAGGUUACUCGUGUUGUGAAAGAACAAUCAAAUAAUGUUCUUCAAUCUCCUAGCUCCCCUAUUGAGCACCAAUUGACUAUUGGACCUAUAACUUCUGCUCCAGCAAGACCACCAAUUGUUCAAGUUUAUUCGAGGAGACGAGAGAUCGAUGAUACAUGUUCUGCACCGGUUCCUCUGUUAUCAAAUCUUUCUUCACCCGAUACUUCAGAGAAUUUGGAUCUCCCUAUUGCUCUUCGCAAAGGUAAAAGGACUUGUCAAUCCACAUAUCCCAUUGUUAAUUUUGUUUCCUAUGACCGUUUAUCCUCUAUGUCGAGGUCCUUGGUUGCUUCUUUAGACUCCAUCUCUAUACCCAAAACAGUGAAGGAAGCUUUGAACCAUCCUGGAUGGUAUGAUGCGAUGCUUGAGGAAAUACAUGCCUUAGAGGAAAAUCACACGUGGGAUUUGGUGGAUUUACCUAGCACGAAGAAACCAGUGGGAUGUAAGUGGGUGUUCACAGUUAAAGUUAAUCCAGAUGGUUCUGUGGCAAGACUUAAGGCUAGGCUUGUGGCUAAAGGGUAUGCUCAAACUUAUGGAGUGGAUUAUUCAGACACUUUCUCUCCGGUUGCGAAACUUACUUCUGUCCGCUUGUUCAUUUCUCUAGCUGCUUCUGCGAAUUGGCCUUUACAUCAGUUGGAUAUCAAAAAUGCAUUCCUUCAUGGUGAUCUUCAAGAGGAAGUAUAUAUGGAGCAACCACCUGGUUUUGUUGCUCAGGGGGAGUAUGGGCGAGUCUGUUAUUUGAAGAAGUCCUUGUAUGGCUUGAAACAGAGUCCCCGAGCUUGGUUUGGGAAGUUUAGUGAGGUAGUCCUGGAGUUUGGGAUGAAAAUGAGCAAAUGUGAUCACUCAGUCUUCUACCGACAAUCAACAGUUGGCACUAUCCUGCUGGUUGUGUAUGUUGAUGACAUUGUCAUCACAGGAAGUGAUUAUGCAGGGAUCUCUUCCCUCAAAUCCUUCCUGCAUACUAGGUUUCAUACGAAAGACUUGGGUCAGUUGAAGUACUUUUUGGGUAUAGAGGUAAAUAGAAACAAGAAGGGAAUUCUUUUGUCUCAGAGAAAGUAUAUUCUUGAUCUUCUUGCAGACACUGGAAAGUUGGCAGCUAAACCUUGCAGUACUCCAAUGGUUCCCAAUGUGCAGCUUAUGAAAGAUGACGGCGACCCCUUUGAUGAUCCUGAGAGAUACAGGAGGUUAGUUGGAAAGUUAAACUACCUUGUUGUGACUCGUCCAGACAUUGCUUUUGCAGUAAGUGUUGUUAGCCAGUUCAUGUCCUCACCUACAGUCAAACACUGGGCAGCUUUGGAACAGAUUUUAUGUUACUUGAAAGGAGCCCCGGGUCUUGGGAUAUUAUAUAGCAAUCACGGUCAUACUCGUGUUGAGUGUUUUGCAGAUGCUGACUAUGCUGGAUCCAAAAUUGAUAGGAGAUCGACUACAGGCUAUUGUGUCUUUGUUGGAGGAAACCUAGUGUCAUGGAGGAGUAAGAAGCAAAGUGUUGUAUCUCGAUCCAGUGCAGAAUCUGAGUAUAGAGCUAUGUCACAGUCUACAUGUGAGAUUAUGUGGAUAUAUCAUCUUCUAACUGAAAUUGGGUUGGAAUAUCAUACACCAGCAAAACUUUGGUGUGAUAAUCAAGCUGCCUUGCAUAUUGCCUCAAAUCCGGUGUAUCAUGAAAGAACUAAACACAUUGAGGUUGACUGUCAUUUUAUUCGUGAGAAGAUUCAGGAAAACUUGAUUUCCACGGGCUACGUGAAGACAGGAGAGCAAGUAGCUGAUUUGCUCACAAAGGCGUUGAAUGGAACUCGAGUUGAUUAUCUUUGUAACAAGCUGGGCAUGAUCAACAUAUAUGCUCCAGCUUGAGGGGGAGUGUUAUAGAAUGUAUAUAGACUUAAUCUUAGUAAUAUACAUAGCUAUAUAUAGGCAGCAGAUUUAUAGGGAUCACUGCAGAUCUGUAGGAAUCACUCUUUAUUUCUUUCCUUAGUUAGCACCUUAUGUAUUGUAUUUAUUCACUGUUCACCUACUGGAAUAAGAUAAGAUCUUCCAUUCAAUUACAUUAACAAAAGUGACAACAAUGAUAUAUGCAUGAACCCCAUAUUCAGAGAAAGAAAACUCAGUCUGACAAGUCAUUGUGCGUCAAUUUCCGAUGAGUGUUUUGUGUCAACCCCAUAUCCGUUGGUAUUUGCGUAGCACCGUGCUAUCUUUUCGAUGACUACUUUUUCAUAUUCAAUUGUUUUAGCACCGUGCCAUCAUUCCGGUGACUACUUUCUAUAUCUAUUUUGUGUGGCGCCGUGUCAUCUUUCCGGUGACUACUUUUUCAUAUUUAAUUUGUGUAGCACCGUGCCAUUCUUCCGGUGACUGCCUUUUUUUGCAUAUUUGAUUUGUGUAGCACUGUGCAUCUCUCCAGACUAUUUUUCAUAUUCAAUUUACGUAGAAUCGUGGAUUUUUCCGUUCUACUUUGUCAUAUCUAAGUUGCAUAGCACCGUGUCUUUUCGGUGACUCCUCAUAUUUGAUCUGCGUAGUUCCAUUCGUCUUUCGGUGACUUCUCAAAUCUGAUUUGCGUAGGGUUGUGCCAUCAUUUCGACCCUACUUAUACUAUUUCUCUUCUUCAAUAGGGUCAUGCUGUCAAUCCGACCUUGUAUUUUCUAGUUGGGUCGUGCUACCAUUCCGACCCUUCCCAUAUAAUAUUAUUUGUUAGAUUGUGACCACUUUUAGCCAUCAAAUCUAAUACUCCGGCAUAUGAGCAUGUUCCGACCAAUUUUUCAGUGACUUUCUUGUUUAAUAUCGACUCAUCUAUUGAUUCCAGCAUGAUCCAUAUACUUUAUACUAGACUUUGAGCACUUUGUAGCUCAAGGGGAGUUUAGUAGCCUUGUAUGUCGAUUAUGUAAGUCACUCUAUGGUCUGAAACAGUCUUUGCAAGUUUGGUUUGGGAAGUACAACACUGUAAUUUUAUCACGCUGUGUUUUAUCGACAUUAUGCAUCAAAUUCAGUAUUUCAUUAGAAGAUUAAGCACAUUGAGAUUGACUGCCAAUAUGCAUUAAAUCCAACAUUUAAUGAGAAGACAAGCAUAUUGAGAUUGAAUGUCAAUUUUGUGAAGUUGACUAAUCAACUUGCAAUAGUCUCACUAAGCCCCUCAUCGAUCCCCGUAUUAAUUACAUUUGUAACAAGCUAGGUAUAUGAAUUGUACGCACUAGCUUAAGGGGGAGUGUUAGAAUAUAAAUAGGCUGAUACAAUCCUAUUAUAAUAGGAAUAAGUUUAUACAAUCCUAUUAGAAUAGGAAUAGGUUUAUACAAUCCAAUUUAGAAUAGGAAUACAAAUAGAAAUAGGAAUAGUAAAUAGUAUCCUACUUGGUAAAAAAUUGUACUCUAGUGUCUAUAAAUAGGGUCUCAAUGAAAUAAUGUAGACACAAAAACAAUUCAAUAAUAUUCUUUUUCAAUAUUUCUCUCAAUUGAGACAACAUUCCUCCAUGUGAUAUCAAAUUCACUUUGUCCCAUUUCAUCGCAUUUAGUCAUCAUUUAAGUGCUACAACUCAAUGCAAUAAAGUCAAGCUAAAACCAACUUAUCAUCAAAAAAUACAUGUUACGGUUAUAACCUUAUCAUCAUAAGAAAUCUACCAUUGUCUUUUCAUCACUACUUAUAUCUACAAAUUAAUUUAUUUUUUUUAUAACCGAGAAAUCCGUCUGUGACCCGCCCUUUGGACCAAUCACAGCCUUCUAAACUCGGUGGAUAAUGGGCCCGCCCCUCUACCCUUCUCCACUUAAAUACCGGGCUUCGCUUUGCAUGGUGUGGGGCUUGAACCUAUGACCUAAUCCACAAAUCCUCCACCUUUUGCCACUUGAGCUAGGCCUUGGGGGCAUCUACAAAUUAAUUACUUCUUGAAGUGACAAAAGAUGUUCUCUUUAGCUUAAUAUAUUUUCUAUCCAUUUUAUUCCAGUAUUUUAGCUGUAUUAUUUUAAUAUGUACAUUCAUAGUGCAAUAUUAUCCAAAGUAUGUACAAGUAAUUGACAUGAGAAGUUUUAGUAUGAUUGCAACUAUCACGAUGAGUCAUGGUAACCAUGCUUGUUCAACUUGAUAAAAGAAAAUAGUAAUCAGAUAAUCCCCACAGCAAAAAAAAAUUGUGCUAACAUAGAGACUUGAAAUUAGUGCUAGAAAGGAAUCAUAAAAAGUAUUUCAAAUUUAAAAGAAUAUGAGGACAAAUCAAAGCACCGGUACCUGCUACUCUAUUUUAGUAACCUUACCAUUAUGUCAACAAGGACUACAAUUGUCACGCCCCAAGCUACCCCCAAGACGCGGACACGGGACCUAGGACCACAAGUGAUCCCAAGCUAACCCUGUUGGCAUGAUCAUGAGCAUACUAAAUAUAAUCUGAAUAAUAGAAACUGCGCAGAAGCUAAAUCACAAAUAAAUCUGAAAGAUGGGGAAUACCCAUAUACUAUAUCUGAGAUAUAUGAAAACUGAUGAGUUUAAUACAAAGAAGAUAUUAACUCAACACUAAGCUGAAUCUAACUAUGUCUGAAAUAAGCCUCUAAACUGACUAGAAAUGUUGGGACAUACCCCAACUAGAUCUAGCAAAACUGAAACUAAAGACUAAAAGCGAUAAAGAUAAACAUGUCACUAGUCCUCGAAGAAUGAGGACUCACCACUGAUGCUGCUGAACUGAAGAUCGGGAAUCGAUCUAAGCGUGAUCUGGAUGCUGAGAACCUGAACCUACAUCACGAGAAGAUGUAGCGCACGUAUGCCUCAGUAAAGGUACUGAGCAUGCAGGAUACAGUAAAGCUGAAAUAACAUAUAACUGAACAAAGCAAUAAAGCAAUGAAAUAAUCUGAACAUGAUAUAGAUACUGAAUACUGAGCUAACUGAAUGCAAUGACCAAUUUAUAACAUGCUGACUGAAUACUGAAUGAACUGUAAAUGUGGUCAAUGCAAUAGAGUCUGACUGAACUGUGGGAGCUACUAAUAANNNNNNNNNNNNNNNNNNNNNNNNNNNNNNNNNNNNNNNNNNNNNNNNNNNNNNNNNNNNNNNNNNNNNNNNNNNNNNNNNNNNNNNNNNNNNNNNNNNNNNNNNNNNNNNNNNNNNNNNNNNNNNNNNNNNNNNNNNNNNNNNNNNNNNNNNNNNNNNNNNNNNNNNNNNNNNNNNNNNNNNNNNNNNNNNNNNNNNNNNNNNNNNNNNNNNNNNNNNNNNNNNNNNNNNNNNNNNNNNNNNNNNNNNNNNNNNNNNNNNNNNNNNNNNNNNNNNNNNNNNNNNNNNNNNNNNNNNNNNNNNNNNNNNNNNNNNNNNNNNNNNNNNNNNNNNNNNNNNNNNNNNNNNNNNNNNNNNNNNNNNNNNNNNNNNNNNNNNNNNNNNNNNNNNNNNNNNNNNNNNNNNNNNNNNNNNNNNNNNNNNNNNNNNNNNNNNNNNNNNNNNNNNNNNNNNNNNNNNNNNNNNNNNNNNNNNNNNNNNNNNNNNNNNNNNNNNNNNNNNNNNNNNNNNNNNNNNNNNNNNNNNNNNNNNNNNNNNNNNNNNNNNNNNNNNNNNNNNNNNNNNNNNNNNNNNNNNNNNNNNNNNNNNNNNNNNNNNNNNNNNNNNNNNNNNNNNNNNNNNNNNNNNNNNNNNNNNNNNNNNNNNNNNNNNNNNNNNNNNNNNNNNNNNNNNNNNNNNNNNNNNNNNNNNNNNNNNNNNNNNNNNNNNNNNNNNNNNNNNNNNNNNNNNNNNNNNNNNNNNNNNNNNNNNNNNNNNNNNNNNNNNNNNNNNNNNNNNNNNNNNNNNNNNNNNNNNNNNNNNNNNNCGGAGAAAUCUUUCGAUUUCGGGGUUGGAACUGAUGGAACCUUGCUGCGUUCUUGAACUAGGGUUCUUGACCUUUUUCUCCUCUCUUGCUUCUAAUUUUCUAAGUUUUGAUUAAUGAUUUGACUUAGGUAAGUUCUAGUUAUGUUUCUAGGUUUAAACUGAUUAAAACCUCAUGAUUUAGGGUCAAAACGACGUAUCUUAGGGGUUAAACGAAAUAGGAAAAGACCAAAAGACCCCUGAAUUAACUGCUGUCGGAGUGAUCGACGGUUUGGACUGACGGGCCGUCAAUCCAUCGACGGACCGUCGAUUGGGUCCGUAGGUCGAGUCUGCCCGACCGGGCUUCACUAAAACGAGCAUAACUUUUUACUCGGAGGUCGGAAUUUGGAAAACUCGGUGGCGUUGGUAAGAUAAUUCAAUUAUCUACCAUACCAUAGGUAAUGGGACACACAAUUCCUUUUGUGCUAAAAUUUAUGACCAUCUGAAGUUGACCAAUCAAUAAUUUUCAGCUAACUAGCUGUUGACCCUCAUCUACGGUCAGACCUACGGACCGUGGGAUCGAAUGACGGUCCGUGCUGGUCGACCGUAGUUUGUGUCAGAGGCUGGGUAAGGGAAGUCUCGAUCCACGGACACAGACCACGGACCGUGGUCUGAUCUACGGACCGUGGGUCUGUCCAUGAGUCGGGACUUAGCCAAUUUUUUCUGAGCUAGUUUGGGAGGGGUUGCAGUGGUGAACCACGGACCACCAGUACGGGCCGUGGUCUGACCUACGGUCCGUGGAUGGUGACCGUAAGUUGCACCUGCAACUUCUCAAAAAUCUAUAUUUUUUGGUCUGUUUCGAAUACGGGGUGUUACAACAAUCAUAAGGAAAAAUCCAACAAUUUAUCCGUAACUCCUCCAUGUUUUUGUUUGUUCCACUUCAUUGCUCUUUUCUUUUUUGUCAAGUAACUGAAUCUAUGUUUCCUUCCUUUGCAUCUGUUACAAAUAACACAUCUACUUCUGUCCCAUUUCCUCUUAAUCUCUUGGGUACCUUAUCCCUCCAUCCUCAUAAUCUCUUGGGUAACUUAUCAAUCCAUCAAAAAAAAAAAUGUAAUUAAGAGGUUAUAUUUAUAUCCUUCGAGUAUAAACAUAUUGAUACUUGAAACUGCACAACUGAGUCCAUCUGGAAGAUCAGCACCUAAAAUCCUAAAUGAGCAAAAUGAAUAGUUUCAUUUGUACUAACUGCCAGAAAACUAAAUAAAAAAUCUUCUAGUUAAGAUAACAGCUGCAUUAUUAAUCAUCCAGUUUGUGAGGUAUUUCCAUUCAUUCCAAUAAACUGAAACAGAAAAUGUGGAAAGCACCCGAAGUAGUAAACAACUAAUAGACUCAUCACACGGAGGUAGAGACACAAUUUGAUCUGAUCUGUUGAAAACACAAUUCAACAAUCAGUUUAUUUAUUUCUACGGAUACAAUACCCUUCUUAAUUUUAAGAAACUUCUUCUUCCAAACAUCUCUUUGGCUUUUAUCUAAGAAUUGACAUGCCACCGCUGUUCUGUUUUUGGUAUAUACGAGAAAAUACAAAUAUACAAGUGUUUCCUCAUCGACAAUCUUCUUUGCAGUCUACAACUAAAAUUGAGAAUUUUAAAAGCAAGCUAGGUAAUAGUUUAUGUUAAAUCUCUUUUGUGUUUUGGUACAUCCUUACAUAUUUCAUAACUACUUGAGGUACCUUUUUUAAUUACUGCUGACAUUAAUUGCUCGAGGUCUCCAGCCAACAACUAUAUUCUCGAAGAGCUCCCUGUGGAGCAAAAAUAGGAUAUCCGAGAGGUCAGCCACGGCUCUCGACAACCUAAGCCACAUCUCUGCUUAAAUUUGUUUCGGUUAAUGAAUCUACUUCUAGAAAACUCUACAAAAUUGAAAUCAAACAAAUAUCAUAUAUUUGAAAGACAUGUGUUGCUAUAUCUACCGGCAUCAACAGACUUAUGCAGACAUAGGCAUAUUUCAAUUAAGUAAAUUUUUUAUAACCUGAGAAAUCCCGAGGUUCCAAACUCAGUGGAUCUUGAGCACAGUUUCUUCAACCCACCUCCCCUCCAUCCCCCAACCCCAGCCCACCCAAAAAAAGGGCAGUGAAUUUGAAAGCAAUUCUGAACCUUCUUAAUUUAUUUGAAAGCACCUUAAAUAAAAUCUUGUAAAUGCUUUCUACCGGACUAAUAGGUUGAUUGAGUUUGAUUCCACAAGGACCAAACCGACUCUUUCAGCUGACUUAGAGAUGAAUGUCAAAUUAUCAACGAGGAUUUUCGUCUGAUCGUAGCAGGGUUGUUAGAAACUUGCAACCAACAACAGUAGAAAUUUUCAUAAUAGCCUACAACUUUUGCUUUCACGUUAAACAUAAACAGUAUGAGUUUAACAAUAAAAAUGCAGCUAUAAAAACAUAAUCAUGUCUGAUAAUUUGAAGAGUUUGUUUGGAACUUGAACAACUAUAUUGAUGUUUAUAUCUUAUACUGAAAUUAAUUUGAAUAAACCUACUUGAUGCGGUAAAAACAAACAAACAUAAAGACAAAGGCCGAAAACUUGACGCAGUUACAUCUAUCUUGACGAAAGCAUCAAUAAUUACAACAUAAUAAAGGUAAUAAAUAAAUCUGUCUUUCAAGGUGCAUAACCUUUAUAGCAAUAGUAAUGAGGCAUCCCCAAACAUCAUGUAGUAAUGUAUACCAAGAACGUUCUCUUGGGAUUACAAUAUAUAGAAACAGAUAUAUAAUGGAUUUGGAGAAGGGAAAUUAAACAGCAUAAACCAUAUAUCACAAAGAAAGGGAAACCAAGAAAAAAGAGAGCAACAUUCCCAGAUUCAGUUUUCUGGAUUCAAGAAUGCAAGAAAGUGAAGAAAUUGAAAAGUGUGUUCUCAAGAAUAAUAUAUAAGAAGAUUGGACCGACCACAUAAACUAUCAAGUAACCAGAACCAACAUGUAAGUAAUCAAAAGAAAAUUUACAAAAACUCAUAAACACGGGACACAAUGCAUCAAAAGCCCUAAAGAAUGAAGUUUUACUCACUUGUAGCGGUGAAUAUCGACGACAGACAAAACAUAGAAGAAGAAGAAGAAGAAGAGCCCUUUUAUUCCAAAAGCCAUGAAAACAGUGGUUGGUUUGCUCCUCAUCUUCCUCAAUUACUCCUUCCUUCAGUUUAGGUAUAUUGGUUCUUCACAAUUUUCAUCCAUUUUCUCAUUUUUUUUCUGAAAUUCAAGGAUAAAUCAGAAAAGUUUUUUUUUUUCAGAAUGUGCAUUUUUUGGCUGCAAAAUUCUAAGGUCCUAAUUCUAAAAUAGUAAUCAUUUAAUAAAUUUAAAAUAAUAAUAAUUUUUUUUCAUUUGGUAAAAUUUUUAAAAUCAUCUUAUUGAUGAGAAAAAAAGUUUAUUGUGUUUCACCAAUAGAUUUAAAAUGCAUUUUAAAGUAAUAAUUAGUGUUUGACCAAAUUUUUUGAAGUGUUUUAAGUGUAUUUUUUUAGAACUAUUUUUCAAAAAGUAUUUCAGAAAAAAGCUAAUUAUUUUAGCUUUUGAAAAACAAUUUUUACUACUUUUCUCCCAAAAAGUUUGAUUGAACACCUCACUUUCAAAAAAUAAAUAUAUUUUACCUCCCAAAAACUUGACCAAAUAGACUAUUAAUAUUUAAUAUUAACCAUUUAGAUUCUAAUUAUUAAGUGUAUUUAUUUUUAUAAUUUUGCAAUUACUUAACGAGAUUGAAUAAAUUUGAAUAAGCAUGGUAUUUUUCAAAGUUUUCUUAUAUUUCAUCACUAUUUCUCUAUUUUCACCGAUGCAGUUGUUGCCGUAAUUCACUAUUAUCAACUAUAAUCACCCAGUAUAUACAAAUCACCAUCACCACCGUAUUAAGUUCUCACUACCAUUAGCCACCAUUAACAAUCAUCAAUCAUAACCACCAUUACAAUUUACAACCACCAAUUAAAAACAACAAUCACCACAAUAACUAUUCAAUAUAUAUUGCAAACCAUUGUUAUUAGUUAUCACGAUCAACAACAACAAUUAAUUAGUAUUGUCAGCCACAUUACUACUAGACCACUCAAUAUCGCCACCGUCUCCCAACAUAAUCUCAAUCGACACCUUGAACCAUCAUUGCUUACAACCAUCACUUUAAUUGUCAUAUAAUUCUUUAAUAGUAUCUCAAUAUCAUAUAAAAUAAUUUAAUAUUUUAUUUAAAUUUUAUAUUUAUUGAUUCUAAAGAAAGGAAUUUUUUUAUAUAUUCACAUGUUGAAAAAAAUUAAUCUUAAUUGUUUAGUAUUAAAAUUUUAGUACGAUAUCUUAAUAUUCAGUUGUGUAUUAAUUUAAAAUAUCUCAAUCUUGAUGAAAACAAUUAAGAUUUAAGGCGGUGAAAGGAAUACAAGUAUUAAUUGAGAUUUAAAUAAUAAAUAAGAAUAAUUUAAUCAAAUCAUCCUUCUAAAUAAUAUUUUUUUAAAAGAAAUGCAAAAGAAAAAUUUGACAACCAAAAUGAACCCAAGAGUAGCACAAGAUAUUACAAAUAUUUCUUCAUAUUGAUUAUUGAUCAACACAUAAAAACAAUUCUUCCAAAUUUUAUUUAAAAUUAAUUCCUUUUAUAAUAUCCUUAAAAAAAUCAACCCCACUUAUACUUAGAAACUAUUUAAUUUAGCAUUCAUAAAAUGCUUUCCUCAAGUCUAUUUUAGGUAAAAAAAAAAAAAAAAAAAAUUUGACCGAAUUCCUUUUAUUCUAUUCUAAAAAAAAUUGACCCCUCAUAUACUUGGAAAUUAUUUAAUUUAGCAUUCAUAAAUUGCCCUCUAGUCCAUUUUAGGUAAUUUUUAAAAGCUUUGACCAAAUUCUCAUUAAAAAAAGUCAAUUAUUAACAUUAAUAAAAUGAGUUAUUUUAUCAAACAUUUGUUCAAUAUUUUAUUAGACAAGGAUAAUUUUGGAAAAAAAGUUUUUAAAUAAAUCUAUAGAAUUUUAAAUUCCACAACCAUAUUUAGACAACUUUUUAAUGUUACAUUACUACCAUGCAAAUCUGAAUUAGUGAAGCAAAUACAUUUUUGGACAAUGAAUAAUUAAAAAGAAUCACAUCAACAACAAUAUAAAGAUAUUCAGAAGCAAGACUUCUAAUUUUAUAAUUGGACACUAGACCAUUAAAACUAUUACCUUAUUUGUUAAAAUCAACUAAUUGAAGAUUGAAAGGUACUAUUUGGUCAACCAUUGCCAAAGCUAAAAUGGAAAUUUAUAGUCAAAGCAAUUACCAUUCUUGAAACAAAGCAAGUACAUAAUAAUUUGUCCUAAUGAGAUCACUCAACAAAAUCACAGAUGCUUAAUUUUGGUGAACAAGUUACUCGAUAUUUGUGCCGACGGCAAGGAUGCCUUGCUUGUCUUGUUUUAGUGACCAAUACUCAAUGUACCUGAUGUUUCAUUUAGGAAUAAAUAUGUCAUUAUGCAUUGAUCAUUAACUAUUCAAUAUAUAGACUGCUCACUAAAGAUAGACUACAGAAUAUGCAUAUACAAGAGAGUGCUGAAACGCACCAACAUUUGUUUACUGAAUGUCAUUGGGGGAAUACAGUGAGGAAGGAUUUGACUAACUGGAUGGGUGUGGAACUGCUAAGAGGCGCAAUUCAACAAAUAUUGGCGUGGAUUAAAAGAAGAUGUUGGAAACAAUUGAAGAAGGAAGCAGGUAGCUGCUAUGUAUGGAGCAACAAUUUAUUAUACCUGGCAAGCGAGGAAUUGGAGGCAGUUUAGACAGGAACAUGUAAAUACAAAUUUCAUCAUCGCACAAAUAAAAAAGGAGUGACAAGUUAGAUUAGAAAGAGUUAAGGAGUCUAGAAAGGCAAGAAAUUGUCAAGAUUUAAUACAUAGGAUUUGUGGUAGACAGUAAGUAGCUAGAUGCUAUAGUGUUUUUUUCUUCCUAAAUUGUACUACUUUGUUUUGUUAUGGUAAUACUCACAGUUUAUUGCUUUUAAAAAAAAAAAACUAUUCAAUAUAUAUUGCAAACCAUUGUUAUUAGUUAAUGACCCUCUAUCAUGAUUAAUCUAUUUCCAUAAAUAGAUGACCAGCUGAAGUCUACUGAAUUCUUAUCUGUCUAUAUAUUUUAUCCGUCACCUCAGUCAGACAUUUUAGAUUUUGAAAGCAAAUCCAACUCUAACGUUAGCGGCAGUACAUUCAACCUGAUUUGAACUGGAAUCAUUCAGAAUCAGAUUUUAUGGGUAAACAAGGGCCAUGUUGCCAUUGUGGCAUCGAGCGUAAGUUCUAUUAACCACCUAUAUCCCACCUUUUAUGUUUAUCAAUAAUCUUGUGCUUUACAUGAUAAUUGAUUCAGUGAUGCUUAGAAUUUAUGUGCCUGAUGUUAAGCAAAUAAACUUUGAAGACUCACAUAACUGAAACACUAAAUAACCAAAUUUCCCUAAAUUGCCAAUCUGUUAAACAUAAAACAUAGCGUACUUGAAUUUUCUCACCUCUCGAGCCAAAUAUUAAUUGCUUUUCAAAACAGCUGCCAUUAGUCUAACAGGAACUGAGGACAUCUUGGAUAAAUUGUAGAUUUGGUCCCCAAUCCCUGGCAUAGAUGCACAUUUUAGACCCUGCUGUCUUCCUCUUCAUAUUUGGCACCAAUGACCCUGCUCCACAACAAUUGUUUGUCAUUGGCAUAUCUCCAUAACCACUCCAUUCUUAGAGCUUUGCUUUGAAAUUUCAGAUUCUUUGUCAUUGGUACCCUUUCUUUUCUUUGUUUCCCUGCCACAAAAUCUCUCUCCUAGUGUUGUCCAACCUUUUGAUAACCCUGGUAGGAUGGGAAAUAAAGGCAUCAUAAAAGUUGGGAAAGCAUCAAGGACUAAAUUAAUGAGAGUGAGUCUUCUUCGUAAGGAGAGGUAUUGAGUUUUCCACCUGGCUAGCUUUUUUUCACACUUCUCUAUCACUCUAUCCCAUAUUUCUAUAGAUUCAGAUUUAGAUUUAGCCCCAGAGGUAGUCCCAAGUGAAUUGUUGGCAGACUGCCAACUUCUCCAUCAUGUAUAGCAGCUAGCAGUUCAUGUUGGUGACUUCAUUUAUAGGAUACAUUAGGUUCUUCCUCUAAAAUCUUUGUUGCUUGGACUCUCUGAAAUUGUUGCCGCACUCGUUGACAUUUUUGAAAAAUCUGAGCAACAUAGACUAAAAUACCUACUCCAUUCCUACUCCUCAAACUUCCUGAGUACCUUAUCUUGUACACGACUAUAUCCCUAGUCUUAGUUCCUACCCAUUAGGUGUCCUAAACCCAAGGUAUAAAGAUCUUCCUUCUCUUAAGAAUAAUCACCAACUCUAUUGACUUCCUCGCCAAUGUUCCUAUGUUCCAAGACAGAACUCUCAACCUAGGAGUUCCCUUGGUACCCUUACCACCCCUGCCCUCACCCCAAAUCAUUGACAUGACUUUUAACUACCAUCAGAUCUUUUGAAGCCACUAACGCCAGUACAGAAUAAUCAAGUGGGGCAACCCAUAACGUCAAAUCCCUAAAUGCAAAAGUGGCAGUCACACAAUACAAUGAAGAAACUAAAAAGAAGCAAUAAACUAUAGCAAAGAUACCAGUUUAAAGUAGGAACCAAGAAAAUGUAGUAAUAUUCACAAGGGCACAAUAAUAAAUUCAUAAACACAAUAUCAGAUUUAAGGAAAUUAGUUAACAAUCAAGCAACAAUAAGGGUCUGAACAAUCUGUCGGAAAAAUCAGGUCUAGAUAAGACAGGAAAAUAUAUAAAAGGGGUGGUGGGAUCAUACCUAGGAGAUGACGGGGAUAAAAAAAACUAUGGACUGAUUUUCUGAAAUCCAGCGAGCUCCGAUAUAUUCCUUUAGUCUGUCGGUCGUCGGUCAUCAGGAUGGGGUAGCUGGAUUCUUGCUGACCGGUGGUGGUAGUGCAACAAAAAAAAACAGAGAAAGGGAGAAAGAAAGACGGCAGGGAGAUUUCGUACCUGGUCGCCGGUGGUGGUGGGAGGUCAGGCCAGAGGCUUGCAGUG